AUUGAACGCUGGCGGCAUGCCUAACACAUGCAAGUCGAACGGGGGCAGCAAUGCCCUAGUGGCGGACGGGUGAGGAAUACGUAGGAACCGGCCCACGAGUGGGGGACAACCUGGGGAAACCCAGGCUAAUACCGCAUACGCUCGCGAGAGGAAAGCGGGGGACCUUCGGGCCUCGCGCUGGUGGACGGGCCUACGUCCGAUUAGCUUGUUGGUGGGGUAAAAGCCUACCAAGGCGACGAUCGGUAGCUGGUCUGAGAGGAUGAUCAGCCACACUGGGACUGAGACACGGCCCAGACUCCUACGGGAGGCAGCAGUGGGGAAUAUUGGACAAUGGGCGCAAGCCUGAUCCAGCAAUGCCGCGUGGGUGAAGAAGGCCUGC
rnacentral:rRNA from 1 species